GUGGGUGGAUGCAUAGUGUGUUUUCGGAAGAGGAGAUUGACAGUGUAAUAUUUGACCACAGAUAAUACAUAUAAUACGGGUUUGACCAUAGUAAUAUAGGUUUUGACAAUGACAGAUGACAGCAAGUGAAAAAGUCAACAAGAAGAAAAAAAGCAAUUAAAUAGUAUAAUAUCAACAAUGAACAACAUUUGGAAAUUAAUAUAAAUUAUAUUCGUAUAAGUGGGUUGGAAGUAUUAUAUAAUAAUUAUAACCUGGAGAAAUUCUCAUAAUUUGAGAAGGUGAGAAGCAGAGGAAGAACAUCAAGCCCAGACACAGCUUAACUCCAAUAGAAGAUUGGAUUUCAAAGCAGCCCACACUGAAGGAGAUUCCUGAACCAGAGCAAGUAUGCCAUGACCCAUGAGGCAUCGCAAUGGUGGAGGGAGGUCAUUCCAACAGUGUGUGGCCGCAAACUUGAAAGACCCUCUGAAAGCUGUAGUACGAUGCAUCGGAACAACAAGAGGACAAACAAUGGACCGAAUACCAUGCUUUAGCUGGUUAUGUUUCCAUGUUAGCUUUUUGUAGAGAUAAUUCGGUUUUUCCGUUCUAAUUGUGCCGAACAGUAAACUAGCCAAAUGUAGCCUCCUCCUAGCAGCCAUUUUUAACAAGUUAAGUUCGUUAAUGAAUGGUGUUACAUGACUUCUGCGAGGAAUAUUUACACAGAAACGAGCACAAGCAUUUUGGAUCCGCUGGAUGACAUGUACAGUUUUUGAAAGAAGGCAUGGUCCAUAUACUACAUCACAAUAAUUUAACUUUGAUAGAAUAAGACUGUCUACAAGUUGUUUGCGCAAGGGAAUAGCCAGGUCCAAAAAUCCUUGUGAUAUCCUCGUCAGUGCGGAUCCUUUGUGUGGAGUCACCAGGUGUCUUCCGUGCAAGUAUGCGGCCGCGUUUAGUCCACACAAAUCUCCAAUUGAAGUGGCUAGCUGCGUCACGCGCCUUCCGAAACAACCGGCGAUUUAUUUUCGUGAGGCGCUCGUUAAGGAAGAACCGCUGAGGAGCACCAGGCAUGUCGAGGUCGGCUGUCGUCGCCCCGCGUCGCACGCGCGCGCUGGCCAGCAGCUCGUCGCGCAGGUCGCGGCGCGCCAGGCGCACGACUAUGGCGCGCGGCCGAGUUACUGCCGGCCCGGCAGAAUUUGUAGCAUUGAGCUGCUUCCCGCCGACACGUUCCGCACUGACAAUAUCGCGUUCCUCCACCUUGACUCCUAGUUUGAGCCCUAUGAUCUGGAUGAUGUGGACGGGGUUAUCAGAAGAGGCCUCAGGUAUGUUGGAGACUUCAAUGUCGUUGCCUAGAAGGUCCUGGUCUCUGUCAUUCAACUCCCGCCUCAACUCCUCCACGACCCCGUCCACCGAAGAAUGACCCGAAGAAGGCUGCUGCUCUAAUGCGCUUAUUCUGGCUUCAAGGCUAUCUAUACGAGUAUUGCAGUGAUGCAUAGAAUUUUUUAGCUGCACCAUCUCCACCUCCAUUUCCCUACGGAACUCCUGUAACUCUCCACGCAUCGCUCUCAACUCGUCCAAGAGUGGCCUAAUGUCAGCGGCGGCCACAGAGGCAUAGUAAGGUGAAGGAGUAGGAGCAGACGAUGGAUUCCCCGGUUGUUCCUCGCAGAUCUCAGGCGCUCGGCGGCAACUAUCAAUCGCCGUGUUCGGUGGACUUGCCUCCACGCAUGCAAGCCCAGGGCUUUCAGCAAGGAGAGGACUUACAGCUGAACCUCUGACCGGAGUCUCAGCCCCAUUAUCCCUGACCUGGUUCCUCUUGCAUUCCGGACAACGCCAGCUUGCAGGAACCACUGCUUUAGUAGCAACUCUAACGCAUUCACGGUGGUAUAGCAGCUGGCACUUGCCACACCUAGCGCCCUCUAACGUCUUGAUGUAGCGACCGCAUCCUCCACACUUGGUUCCGGGCAUGAUGAUAGACGAGAAGCCAACUUAAGAUCAAGUGGGUUCAACGUUUGCCCGCUAGAUGGCGCCACUAAGCUUAAAGACUAAAUGGUUCAGCGUUACGCUCGCUAGAUGGCGCCACUGAGGCUGACUCAAUUGAUCGAUGACAGGUGCAGCGAGAAUAUCUUUCCACUGUCAACCAGUUCUUAACGAGAAUAUCCUCGAUAUCAACAAACAGUUGCUGGGAAUGGAGGGUAGGAAUUAUUUACGCCAAGUCACUGCAAAUAUUGUUUUAACAAAUGUAGUUUGUUACACACACUGGUUUCUACCAACUAAAAUGUAUGUCACUAUUUGUUUCACUGUGUACACAAUAAAGUUAAUGACUAUGCAGAUACUUGAGUUUAUGAUUUU